GCUCGUGUCGUGAGAUGUUGGUUAAGUCCCGCAACGAGCGCAACCCUUGUUCUUAGUUGCCAUCAGGUAAUGCUGGGCACUCUAAGGAUACUGCCGGUGACAAACCGGAGGAAGGUGGGGAUGACGUCAAAUCAUCAUGCCCUUUAUGACCUGGGCUACACACGUGCUACAAUAGCCUAUACAAAGGGUUGCGAAGCUGUGAAGUGGAGCCAAUCCCAAAAAAGUAGGUCUCAGUUCGGAUUGUAGGCUGCAACUCGCCUACAUGAAGUCGGAAUCGCUAGUAAUCGCGGAUCAGCAUGCCGCGGUGAAUACGUUCCCGGGCCUU
rnacentral:rRNA from 1 species